GUAGUACUCCCCCCGUCCGCAAAUCCUUGUCAUCAAAAUGAGUAAAAGGAGAUGUAUCUAGACGUAUUUUAGUUGUAGAUACAUCAUUUUUUAUUCAUAUUGAUGAUAAGUAUUUUUGAACGGAGGGAGUAUUAU
rfam:Triticum aestivum genome assembly, contig: Triticum_aestivum_CS42_TGACv1_scaffold_570494_7AS